CAACCUGCCCCUGACUCUGGGAUAAGCGGUGGAAACGCCGUCUAAUACCGGAUACGACCCGCCACCUCAUGGUGGAGGGUGGAAAGUUUUUCGGUCAGGGAUGGGCUCGCGGCCUAUCAGCUUGUUGGUGGGGUAACGGCCUACCAAGGCGAUUACGGGUAGCCGGCCUGAGAGGGCGACCGGCCACACUGGGACUGAGACACGGCCCAGACUCCUGCGGGAGGCAGCAGUGGGGAAUAUUGCGCAAUGGGCGAAAGCCUGACGCAGCGACGCCGCGUGGGGGAUGACGGCCUUCGGGUUGUAAACCUCUUUUACCACCAACGCAGGCUUCCAGUUCUCUGGAGGUUGACGGUAGGUGGGGAAUAAGGACCGGCUAACUACGUGCCAGCAGCCGCGGUAAUACGUAGGGUCCGAGCGUUGUCCGGAAUUAUUGGGCGUAAAGAGCUCGUAGGCGGCGUGUCGCGUCUG
rnacentral:rRNA from 1 species